GAAGCAGUAAACACAGAAAAAAACCCUCCCCCUUUUCUGCCUAAAGGCAGGAUAUAAAUUCUCCUUUUACUGGAGAGAGACUCUUAUCAGCUCCGAGAUGGCACAAGCGGAAUCUGCACACAAACUUUAUUCCAUUCGUUCCCUCCUAUAUUUACCUUCCCACGGUUUGCCGCCUUUGGAAGCCUAAAACCGCCUCCCUUUGUCCUGUCGUUUCUCUACAAAUUUGUUGGUUUUUGUUGAAGAUGCUAUACAAGCUGGAAUUCAAAGCCGCCAUUUUGAGUUAGUCUUGGUUUCUGUUUCUCCCACGUGAUGUGCGCUGCAUGCCUUAACGAACUGUUUUUCCUCCGUUAAUCUGUCUUUUUGUUAAAGACUCCCAGCUGAAAGCCUAAGAUGGAGCGAGUCAAGGAACAGAGGAACAAUCUCAAUCGCAAAGUUCUCAGAGAUGCUAAUGAGACAGUGUAGAUGACUUAUGAAUACCUGCCUCGUCGGGUCUUUCGCUGGAGGAAAGUCUUCUGAUGAGAGAUGCCGAGUAUGUGUUCUCUCCUCUAACACCCGGCUCUUCCUCCCACUCCCUCCUCCUCCUCUCCUCGGGUACGCAGAGAGUCUGUGCAAUCUGCACCGACGUCUUGAAGUUGCAGCCUGGAUACCCAUCCACACCCACACUACAACCCAAAGACUCAUGCCACCCUCGUCUCACAGUUGCCCUGGAAUUCAUGUUCUCUGAGUGACCAGCUCUUGAUGAAGACCUGCCUAAUUGUUCUACCUAGAGACUUGGACAAGAGCCUGUGAGAAAGAACUAAAGGCUUGCAAAUGUGAGCAUAAACUUAGGCCAGUGAAACACAGAGCACUUUCUCAGUCCCACCCAGACUGCAAACAUUGAUUUAGAGGUUUCCACCAAAAGCAAUAUUUUGCCUUGACCUAACAUAUUUGGCUGCACUGGCUGCACACAUAAGAUCAAGAGAGACGCCAUCUCUGAGGUGUGGUGUCUACUUGGAUGAACAUAUUCUCUUCCUAGGAUCUGUGGAUAAAGCCAACGCUUAUUAUUACUAACUGUCAGCCACUAUUCUAGGGAUGUUUUACAUGGGUUAAGUCCUUCAGUUCUUGCAACAACCCUAUAAGGUAGAUAAUAUCAUUAUCCCCAUUCUAGAGAUGAGGAAACCGAGACACAGAGAACUUGAGUAACUUGCCCAAAUUCACAAAGCAAUUAAAUUUAAUGUCUUUAAUACUUUCCAA
rnacentral:lncRNA from 1 species